CCUACGGGUGGCAGCAGUGGGGAAUAUUGCACAAUGGGGGAAACCCUGAUGCAGCGACGCCGCGUGAGUGAAGAAGUAACUCGUUAUGUAAAGCUCCAUCAGUAGGGAAGAAAAUGACGGUACCUGAGUAAGAAGCCCCGGCUAACUCCGUUCCAGCAGCCGCGGGAAUACGUAGGGGGCAAGCGUUAUCCGGAUUUACUGGGUGUAAAGGGAGCGUAGACGGGAGUGCAAGUCUGGAGUGAAAGGCGGGGGCUCAACCCCCGGACUGCUCUGGAGACUGUACGGCUGGAGUGCAGGAGAGGUAAGUGGAAUUCCUAGUGUAGCGGUGAAAUGCGUAGAUAUUAGGAGGAACACCGAUGGCGAAGGCAGCUUACUGGACUGUAACUGACGUUGAGGCUCGAAAGCGUGGGGAGCAAACAGGAUUAGAUACCCGGGUAGUC
rnacentral:rRNA from 1 species